AUUGAACGCUGGCGGCAUGCCUUACACAUGCAAGUCGAACGGUAACAGGUCUUCGGAUGCUGACGAGUGGCGAACGGGUGAGUAAUACAUCGGAACGUGCCCGAUCGUGGGGGAUAACGCAGCGAAAGCUGUGCUAAUACCGCAUACGAUCUACGGAUGAAAGCGGGGGAUCGCAAGACCUCGCGCGGACGGAGCGGCCGAUGGCAGAUUAGGUAGUUGGUGGGAUAAAAGCUUACCAAGCCGACGAUCUGUAGCUGGUCUGAGAGGACGACCAGCCACACUGGGACUGAGACACGGCCCAGACUCCUACGGGAGGCAGCAGUGGGGAAUUUUGGACAAUGGGCGCAAGCCUGAUCCAGCCAUACCGCGUGCGGGAAGAAGGCCUCGG
rnacentral:rRNA from 1 species